GUCCUUGCCGUAAACGAUGUGUACUUGAUGUAGUUAGGCUCAACCCUGACUGUGUCGUAGCUAACGCGAUAAGUACACCGCCUGAGGAGUACGCUCGCAAGGGUGAAACUCAAAAGAAUUGACGGGGGCCCGCACAAGCAGUGGAGCAUGUGGUUUAAUUCGAUGCAACGCGAAGAACCUUACCUGGGCUCGAAAUGCAGAGGGCGAUAUCAGAAAUGGUAUUUUCCGCAAGGACUUCUGUAUAGGUGCUGCAUGGCUGUCGU
rnacentral:rRNA from 1 species